GGGCUUGUAGCUUAGUGGUUGAGCUCUUGUUUCACAUUCGUGAGGCCCUGGGUUCGAUUCUCAGCACCA
rnacentral:tRNA from 1 species